rnacentral:rRNA from 1 species
AUUGAACGCUGGCGGCAUGCCUUACACAUGCAAGUCGAACGGUAACAGGGUUACAGCUUCUGCUGACUGGCGAACGGGUGCGUAAUACAGCGGAAUGUGCCCAGACCUAGUGGUUAACGGGGCGUAAGGUUGGCUAAUACCCCAUACGACCUAAGGCUGCCAACAGGUGACCGCAAGGCCUCGUCCGUUUUUGCCCGCCGAUGUCAGAUUAGGUAGUUGGGGGGAUAAAAGCUUACCAAGCCGACGAUCUGUAGCUGGUCUGAGAGGACGAUCAGCCACACUGGAACUGAGACACGGCCCAGACUCCUACGGGAGGCAGCAGUGGGGAAUAUUGGACAAUGGGCGAAAGCCUGAUCCAGCAAUGCCGCGUGCGUGAAGAAGGCCUUCGGGUUGUAAAGUGCUUUUGUUGGGAAAGAAAAGCCGCUGGCUAAUACCUGGCGGACAUGACGGUACCGAAAGAAUAAGCACCGGCUAACUACGUG